rnacentral:rRNA from 1 species
CCUACGGGGGGCUGCAGUGGGGAAUCUUGCACAAUGGAGGAAACUCUGAUGCAGCGACGCCGCGUGAGCGAUGAAGCCCUUCGGGGUGUAAAGCUCUUUCGGCAGGGACGAUAAUGACGGUACCUGCAGAAGAAGCUGCGGCUAACUACGUGCCAGCAGCCGCGGUAAUACGUAGGCAGCAAGCGUUGUUCGGAAUUACUGGGCGUAAAGAGUGUGUAGGCGGCCGUUUAAGUUCGGUGUGAAAUCUCCUGGCUCAACUGGGAGGGUGCGCCGGA